rnacentral:rRNA from 1 species
AACGGACGCUGGCGGCAUGCCUAACACAUGCAAGUCGAACGAGACCUUCGGGUCUAGUGGCGCACGGGUGCGUAACGCGUGGGAACCUGCCCUUAGGUUCGGAAUAACUCCCCGAAAGGGGUGCUAAUACCGGAUAAUGUCUUCGGACCAAAGAUUUAUCGCCUUUGGAUGGGCCCGCGUUGGAUUAGCUAGUUGGUAGGGUAAAAGCCUACCAAGGCGACGAUCCAUAGCUGGUCUGAGAGGAUGAUCAGCCACACUGGGACUGAGACACGGCCCAGACUCCUACGGGAGGCAGCAGUGGGGAAUAUUGGACAAUGGGCGAAAGCCUGAUCCAGCAAUGCCGCGUGAGUGAUGAAGGCCUUAGGGUUGUAAAGCUCUUUUACCCGGGAUAAUAAUGACAGUACCGGGAGAAUAAGCUCCGGCUAACUCCGUG